AAGAAAAACAAAAGAAGAAGAGGGCUACAACCACUCAAACGUAUUUUUCCCUUCCCAUAUCCCCCCGGGGGUAGUCUCUCUGUCAAAAUGUUGAGCCUAAGCCUCUCUCUCAGUCCAGCUCCUCGCUUCUAUUCUGUCUUCCCCGAUAUACCGACCCAAAUCCUCUACCCUAAUUCACCGGUUGUUCUUAGUCUCCAGCGAGAAAUUAGGGUUCGAAUUGGGGCUUGCUCUUCACUUCUCCAAAUCUGCCUCCAACUCCAUCUACCUAGUCGAUAAUCAAAGCUCCGCUUUGCAUUACCCAAAUCAAUUCAAGGCUUCUCGAUCCGCUGACCCGCCAAUUAGCCAGACGGACCCAACUCAGUUGCUUCCACAACGAGAACCAACCCGCUCUCUCCAAGGAUGAACAAGGCCCGCCUCAGGAGGUCGUUCUCAAAGCUAUUUCAGGUUUCGUUUUCAGGGAAGCUUCAACCUUUUUGAAAGUUGAAGGCACUGACAGAGCUCAUUAUCUAGCCAAGAAUUAUUGACGUGAGCACCAAAGGAUCCUGUUGAACCCGAAAAAGUUCUUAAAGCAGCCCAAGUCAAACUCGUCCUCACCACUCAAGUCACUCAUCACCAUUGGUAUUAUGCAGUUCACCCUUCUUGAUCCAAUUUAGAAAUUUACUGUGUUUCUGACAUUCUGUUAUGUAUAUUAGUUUGGUAAUCUAAAUUACUAAGUUGCUAUUUACUAAUGGGUAGUCGAACAUUAGAACACGAAGAAGAAGUUGCUGUGUACUAAUGGGUAAUCUGAAUUACUAAUUUUGGAUAGUUUCUGAUUCAGUGAUUCUUCAAGCUGUUUUGGAUAGUUUCUAAUUCAGUGAUUCUUCUGAGAACUCUCGAUAAUGAACGUUGUAAGUAAAGUUUGGACCUUUCUUUGUUUAGAACAUAAACAUAGUUCCUGGAAACUCUUGGUUAUUAUGAUUUAAUUUGUUAGGAUUGAUCGGCCUCUAAGUAGAAAAUGGACGAGACCGAUGCUAUUGGGCUUGAAAUUUGUUCAGCAUUUUCUCUAAGAUUGCAUGUAAUUAGGCUUGAAAUUUUGCAUGUAAAUUAGCAGGUCAUAAAAUUGCAUGUAAGUUAGCAACAUCAGGUAAAGUAGGCAAAUUGCUAUGUUGUUUAAGUUAAUCUGGUGUUUAUUGGGAAGCAAGUUUAUUCGAGUCUUUUUAUAGGCUACCUAAGAUUUGUAUCUUUUCAUGAUUGGGACUCUUGUUCUCAUUAUUUUAAUGGUAGAUUCUGUAUUGCCAUUACUUCCUGGAACUAUGCAUCUACUUAAUUCAGUAGCUGAGGCUUGAAAUUGUUUUGUAUUUAAUUUCACAGCCAUUACAAGAGGAAUUAAGAUUAACUGUUGACUAUUAGUUUUGGCUGGUGGAUUGUAGUUGAGUUACAGGAAGUUGUUGUGAAGAAGUUCCUAGACCAGGAUUUCUCGUGUGCUGCUUUGGCUGAGUUCAAAAGAGAAGUAAUUCUCUAGUCCUUGUCUGCAUUUUCAUAUUCCACUUUAUAGUACCAACACUUUCGGGAAAAGAAAAAAAAAACAAAGAAAAGAAACUUACAACCUAUAAAUAAUUGUGGUAUAUUCUGAACCAUACUUUCCCCUGUUUUAAGUUAUAGACGAAAUAAAUUGGUAUGGUAUAACUUUUCAAACUUAAGUUGAACGGUAAUUGAUCAUUCCUCGAUCCUCGCUAAACUAAUAUGGCGGACUAUGCAUCUUUGUACAUUUACAAGUUUGACACAUGGAUCAAUGUGCUGCCUUGGCUAUGAUUUUAGUUUCCAGGUAAUGUGCAUGAUAAGUUUACUCAUCU